UUUUUUAAAUAAAGGUCGUCAAGAUCUGCUACUGAGAGUUGGUCGUAAAAGUCAUCCCCAUCUCCCAUGGGUGGUUCAUCGUUCCAUUCUUGAUCAUUUUCUCCCAUCACUGGUGAUUCAUGAGAGACGCCAUGCUGGUAGUUUGGGUACUGACUUUCAUCGAUAAAUGUCUCUUUGCUGAAUG